rnacentral:snoRNA from 12 species
GUGUUCGAUGAUGAUUUUUACUUGUAUGCCUGAUUUCCUUUGGGAUAAUGAAGGCAUCUUUAGUCACUACCUCUUCUGAGACAC